rnacentral:lncRNA from 1 species
AUGUAUGUAUGUAUGUAUGUAUGUAUGUAUGUAUGUAUGUAUGUAUGUAUGUAUGUAUGUAUGUAUGUAUGUAUGUAUGUAUGUAUGUAUGAUGUUGAUUACACUGUGGGCUGAAAAGCCGGGGGCCCAGGGCCGAAGCACAGCGCGGGGGGCGGGUGCAUACGGCUGGUUAGUCUCAUGCACUCCGCCCCCGGGUCAGGCCGCACGGGAAACGACGGCCGGCACGCAACAGCGCUUGUUUGGCGCUCCAACUAGACGGGAUCUAUGCCCGUUGGUCUCCUAACAUAA